rnacentral:rRNA from 1 species
AUUGAACGCUGGCGGCAUGCCUUACACAUGCAAGUCGAACGGCAGCGGACCUUCGAGUGCCGGCGAGUGGCGAACGGGUGAGUAAUAUAUCGGAACGUACCUUUCAGUGGGGGAUAACGUAGCGAAAGUUACGAUAAUACCGCAUAUUCUGUGAGCAGGAAAGCAGGGGAUCGCAAGACCUUGCGCUGAUUGAGCGGCCGAUAUCAGAUUAGCUAGUUGGUGGGGUAAAGGCCUACCAAGGCUACGAUCUGUAGCGGGUCUGAGAGGAUGAUCCGCCACACUGGAACUGAGACACGGUCCAGACUCCUACGGGAGGCAGCAGUGGGGAAUUUUGGACAAUGGGCGCAAGCCUGAUCCAGCAAUGCCGCGUGUGUGAAGAAGGCCUGCGGGUUGUAAAGCACUUUCAGUGGGGAGAACAGAUUCGGGUCAAUACCCCGGAGCCCUGACGUUACCCACAGAAGAAGCACCGGCUAACUCCGUGCCAG